AUUGAACGCUGGCGGAAUGCUUUACACAUGCAAGUCGAGCGGCAGCGCGGUCUUCGGACUGGCGGCGAGCGGCGAACGGGUGAGUAAUACAUCGGAACAUGCCCAGUCGUGGGGGAUAACACUUCGAAAGAAGUGCUAAUACCGCAUACGUCCUGAGGGAGAAAGCGGGGGAUCGCAAGACCUCGCGCGAUUGGAGUGGCCGAUGUCAGAUUAGCUAGUUGGUGGGGUAAAGGCCUACCAAGGCAACGAUCUGUAGCUGGUCUGAGAGGAUGAUCAGCCACACUGGGACUGAGACACGGCCCAGACUCCUACGGGAGGCAGCAGUGGGGAAUUUUGGACAAUGGGGGCAACCCUGAUCCAGCCAUUCCGCGUGAGUGAAGAAGGCCUUCGGGUUGUAAAGCUCUUUCGGCAGGAACGAAACGGCGAGCUCUAACAUAGCUCGCUAAUGACGGUACCUGAAGAAGAAGCACCGGCUAACUACGUGCCAGCAGCCGCGGUAACAC
rnacentral:rRNA from 1 species